UAUUGUCAUUUCAAUCAGUGGUACCUUACACAGUGAAACAAGACAGUGUUCCUCCAAGACCAUGGUGUUACAUAUAACAGACGAUCAACACAGGACUGCAUAAAGUGCAAGUGUGCAAAAAUUGCAAACCAGACAGAACAAAGCAAUACGGACACAAGAAAGUGCAGACACAACAGUGCGAUAGAAAGUUCAUGAGGGUGACCUAAGGAUCCGAUGUCCUUUAGUGAGGCCUGUGCCUGGCAUCCUGAAUGUUGUCCUGUGCUUUUUACAGCAAGUUCACCCUGAGCACAUGUGACACAUGACCAUGAAUAAUGUUCAGCAUGAUCGAUUAAUGUGAUGGGAUGGGAAGGCAUAAGCAUGAUGGGACACAAAGACCUCUAUAGGCUAGGCAUUAGGUAUUGGGAUGAAACAAUGUACCCAGCCCAUAUCAGUGUAGAUAUCCAGCAUGAUUUUUUCCCCAUUGAAGGCUGAUGUGUUUUUAAAGUGUUCCUUUAAUUAUUUUGAGCAAUGUGUAUAUACCUUAAUAUGCAGAGGUAAGUCUGAUUCUUUUCAGUAAUUUAUGCAUAAUGUGUGGAUUUUAUGAGAUGUCGGUAUAAAAAAUUAAUAAUACACUGUUGAGAACUGUUUUCAGUACAGUCUAUGGGCUACAAGAAAACAACAGUGCUUACAGGUUGUUAUUCAAGGAGCAACAGAAAACCAAAUUCAGACAAACUCCACCGACAGGACUUAGCAAGCUAAUGGAGUCCUUCAACGAUUUAGCUAGCUAAAAGCAGCUAACUUGGGUACUCAGAACUAACCAUAAAAACUAAAUUAGCAAACAGUAAAGCUAUUGUUUUUUUGUUUGUUUUUUAUAAAUGUGAGCACCUCCAAAUGGGCUCCAGCAAAAGCAGGAGGGAAAUAGAUGCAGUAUCACAAAGAGCCAUCUGAAGCUGGCUGUGACGUGGUUUCCAUGGGAGUACAAAGCUUUUUGAAGCCAGUUAAGAUACCGCCUGGAUUUCACUUCCCGUUUGUUCUGCCAAGCUGCUGGGAACACUCUGCUCCUUAUCGUUCAGCGUGAGGCGCCCUUAUACAGUAUGUACCUGCAAGGGCUGACCCCAUAGCUCAGAGUAUCCCAGAUUAAAAAUAUAUAACCGGUACUUCUGACUUGCACUUGAAGCUUUGGUUUCUAAAAGCAUUUAUGAAAACCUUAACACAUCAGAAAAGUUUAAUAUUUAAACAUAAUUUACUGUUAUAUCUUUGAAAGCAUAACAAAUUUAAACCACUGUGCAAAGAGGUGAGAGCACGACAAAAAUAAUGGUUUGAAAUAAAUUCAGUGAUAUUACUGAAGACAAUAAUUGAUCAUGUGACGACUUCCUGACAUCAGCCUCUUUUCAUCUACUCUGCAGUCGUGUGACAAAGAAAGUUUCACAUGGUUCUUUGCAGUCAUGUGCUGGAAUUAAAAGGUUAAGUAGCAGCACUUAACUGACUGUCAGCAAGUGUGAGCACCUCUGCAAAGCAGAAGUUUGCGGAUCAAUCUGGGACAGGUUACAAUGCCAAUUCCAAACAAUUUCAAGAUGAUCAUUCUACUAGGAAAAAGAUUAUUUCCAAAUGGAAAACAUUCGAGACACUCACCAGUCUUCCUGGGAAUAAAUCCCAAGGUCAGACUGUGCAAUGCUCAGAAAAAUUGCAAAAAACACCAGAAGUACAUCUCAGAGUGUACAGCCCUCAGUUAGCAGUACAAUUAUAAAAAGAUUAAAGAAGUAUGGCUUGUUUGGAAGGGAUGCCAGGACAAAGCUUCUUCUCUCUAAGAAGAACACGACAGCACAGCUUAGGUUUGCAAAGUUGCAUCUGGCUUGUUUUGCAGUCACAGGACCUGGGCACCCUGCAGUCUCCGAAUUAACCAUAAACUCCUCUGUAUACCAAAGUAUUCUAGAAUCAAAUGUGAGGCCAGCUGUCUGAUAGUCUGGCCAAAACUGGGUCAUGCAAUAGGAGAGGAUGCCAAGCACAGCAGCAAAUCUACAACAGAGUGGCAAGAAAAGAAUCAAGGUGUUGCAGUGAUGCAGUCAAAGUCCAGAGCUCAGCCCAACUGAAAUGCUGUGGUGGAACCUUAACAGAGCUGUCAUAGACAAAUGCACACAAACCUCAAUGAAGUGAAGCAACACUGUAAAGAAGAGUGGACCAGAAUUCCUCAACAACAAUGUGAGAGACUGAUAAAGUGAUACAGAAAACGACUGCUGCAGGUUAUUGCUGCUAAAGGUGCUUCUACACACAUAUGAAUCAUGGGGUGGACUUUUUAUUUUUCCCAACUAUAGAUGAUUUAAUGUCAGUACCCAGUGGCAAUGCCCACAAACCCAUAAUCAGUCACUAGUUUUAAAACCUUACAUUGUAUACUCUAAUGCAUAUACUAUUAAACACACAGGUAUUGUUUCAGUAUUCGUGUUCAUAAUAGCUCUGAAAAGCUUUUCAGCGGCUCCUAAAUUAUCAUUUCUUUUGGAGUUAAAAUAACUGAAAACUGAAUAGAAAAACAUAUGUAAUGUUUUAUUGUUUUCCUUACAGCAGUUAGCAAUAGCUUAACUAUAGCAAGCCAAAAAUAAAUACAAAUUUUAAAUAAUUUCAACAAUGUGUUUCAUUCAAGAGGGCAACAGUAGCAUUUCACGUUAAUUGGACACAAAGUCCAACACAAAGCUAUGGCUUCCUGUCCGUUUUUCCCCACAGGAAGUUAUGAGCACAUGGUCAUUUUUCUUAAUGCUUUUAAACUUGAAAUUACACAAUUCACAUAUUUAUUCAUUUUUUUUUAAUCUGUAAGGGAAUUUUAAAAAAUGGGCAGAGAGGAAGCCAUUCUUGCGUAAUUGGACUCGGCCCGGCAGAAGCAGUUAGGAGACGAUGCUGAACAUGCAUAAGACAUGAGGAAAAUACUACAGGCAAAGAACAUAAACAUUGAAAAUCAAAA